rnacentral:snRNA from 1 species
UAACUCUGGUUUCCCUUCAAAACGCAUAAAUCUUUCGCCUUUUGUACUAACGGAUUUCGCGUGAUGGGAACCACUCAUGCGUCUUACUCAAUUUUUUCUAUAGCCCACUUCGUGGGUUCA